UACGUAGGGCGCAAGCGUUGUCCGGAAUUAUUGGGCGUAAAGAGCUCGUAGGCGGCUUGUCACGUCGGAUGUGAAAGCCCGGGGCUUAACCCCGGGUCUGCAUUCGAUACGGGCUAGCUAGAGUGUGGUAGGGGAGAUCGGAAUUCCUGGUGUAGCGGUGAAAAUGCGCAGAUAUCAGGAGGAACACCGGUGGCGAAGGCGGAUCUCUGGGCCAUUACUGACGCUGAGGAGCGAAAGCGUGGGGGAGCGAACAGG
rnacentral:rRNA from 1 species